UUAGGUGAGGGAGGACAUAAUUCAAGAGAGGCCAAGGCCAUUACUGUAUCCCCUGUAUGCGGCUCAAGGCCUGGCACAUGGAGGUACCCCAUUACCUUCCCACUGACAAAAAACACCAGUAAAGACUGCUUGCUCUCUCUCCCUCUCUUUUUCCCUCCCUCCUUCUUGCUCUCUCUCUCUCUCUCACACACACACACACACACUAACACACACUUCUACAGAAGAAACAGGACAAAGCUGUCACUGUUAGCUUCUGGGGAGGUGCCAAACCUCACGACCAGCUUUCCAAAUUCUCCUUGAGCGUUAUCACCAGGAUACAGCAGGCAAGAUAAAGAAACUGCAACCCAGCUGCCAAAAUACUCAAUUAGCUAUCUUGGCACUGGUGGCUUUUUUAGAAGAGCUUAACUCUCCAGCAUUUCUCAUCAAGCAGGAAGGUGGACAGGCAUCAUUAGUCUUUCAUACUGAAAGGAAAACCUGAGUAUGGAAACAGGGAAGGUAUGCCAGCCUUCACACGCAACCUUGCCCGUGAGCUCACAGGAGGGCCAAGGGCGGGCAUGGACUGAUCACCUGGAGUUCCUGGUCCCAGCCAUGUUCCCAACGGCCAUUCUUCACAACAGCCAAAACGUGGAAGGAACUCAAAUGUCCAUCAACAGAGUUCCCACACGAUGCUGAUGCUGCUAGUCUGAGGAUUAUACUUUGAGAACCACUGGUGAAGAAAAAACUCAAGGACGGAAAUUUUCUGGAUGAGGACAACCAGAGGGUAAUGCUACCUAAGACUCACCUCCCAGAGCUGUUCUCUGCACCAAUUUUGGCAAAAUCUAUGUUGAUACACAUUUUGUCUUUUCUUGUCUAUGGACCCUCAGGUACACAGAUUUGGAGUGGUUAUAAUCCUUGAUGUGUGACCUACCUUCACCAGUGGGCUACGCCUGACCCAUUCAUUCAUUCAUUCAUUCAUUCACUCAUCCAUUUUUAAUAAUGGCCCGCACCUAAUAAUAAUGAACAUCAACCAAAAUAAAAGCUAGGACUUUGAAACUGGCCUCUCUGUAACUUCACAGAGCUUACUCCAUCCAUCUUGCCUCCCAACAUAUGAGCCAAGCAGUU